rnacentral:rRNA from 1 species
CAGAGUUUGAUCAUGGCUAGGGAUGAACGCUAGCGGCAGGCUUAACACAUGCAAGUCGAGGGGCAGCGGGGUGUAGCAAUACACUGCCGGCGACCGGCGCACGGGUGCGUAACGCGUAUGCAACCUACCCAUAACAGGGGCAUAACACUGAGAAAUUGGUACUAAUUCCCCAUAACAUUCGAAGAGGCAUCUCUUUGGGUUGAAAACUCCGGCGGUUAUGGAUGGGCAUGCGUUGUAUUAGCUAGUUGGUGGGG